GUGUGUGUGUGUGUGUGUGCGUGCACGUUUAAAAACACUUAAAAGAAUUUACAAAAGUGCUCUGUGACUUUGUCCCGCUUUUCCCGUUCUUUUUCUGUGCUUGAGUUAGGGGUCUGAGACUGCAACUUCAGUUUAGUAUUCGCGUGACGGGCUCUGCUAUUUUGAUUUGUAGUGAAUAUGCAUUAAGAUGGUAAUCUGUCAGUAGUUCCGCUGCAAGCUCGUAUUCAGUCGACGUGACUGAACUGGGGAAAUCACGGAGACGUUUUAACAAGACGUUUUACAGGAUUGCCAUGACGUUUUUGUGUGGAUAUUAAUAUUUCGCUGCAGGUAAGAAAAUCUAUUGGUAUACCGUUUGCGGCAGGACAGAAAUGGAAGCAGGUGACAUAUCUUCUAAUAUGACUAAAAAAUUGUCUAACCAUGUCCAGCUCAUUGGUGACACAUAUGAUCACAUCACAGGGCGAGGUAUCCAAAAUGAGGUAGCAAGGUUACUGGUGGAACUCAUCUUAAAGCAAUACCAAUAGGUGACCGCAAGUUAGAAUUUGGGUGUUAUUGAAAGUCAUGCAUUUGGAUUAGGGAAAAAGACCAAACUGAAAGCGGAGGCUAAGAUGACCAUGACGUAUCCAUCAGGACAGAGAGACAAAACUGACUGGUCUGAAAUGACUUAAGGCUGAGCCAACAUGAGGGGACCAGAAAAGAGAGAGGGACAGUUGACACCAUUGCGCUUUGGCACCGUGUCUGGCCAUAGCCCGCGAAGGUACCUUGAAACAAAGGUGAAGGACCUGUCCAGAUAGUGUCAUGGCUGAAGCUAAGUGGACGUCUGCUGGUACAGUUGGAGGUGAUGGUACAGUUCUCAGAUUAUUAGCAGGACAAUGAGACUUACAUUCACACCUCCCCGUCCCAGUGUUCUGUUGAUUGUCAGACAUUGAAAAUAUACCCAUGAGGGAUUAAUUGAUCUCAUUUACAAUGAGCAAUAAAGAAUAUUGUACUGUAUUUACCAAGUACAUCCCCAAAUAGCAUUUUUAUCAAUGAGAGGUAAGUGGUUGUGACUGGUAUUCUGUCUUACCAUGCAA